UACGUAGGGUGCGAGCGUUAAUCGGAAUUACUGGGCGUAAAGCGUGCGUAGGCGGUUCCUCAAGUCCGUUGUGAAAGCCCCGGGCUCAACCUGGGAAUUGCGCUUGAUACUGCGGCGCUGGAAGGUGGGAGAGGAUGGCGGAAUUCCCAGUGUAGAGGUGAAAUUCGUAGAUAUUGGGAAGAACACCGGUGGCGAAGGCGGCCAUCUGGCCCACAUUUGACGCUGAGGCGCGAAAGCGUGGGGAGCAAACAGG
rnacentral:rRNA from 1 species